rnacentral:rRNA from 1 species
UACAGAGGUGACAAGCGUUGUCCGGAUUUACUGGGCGUAAAGAGCGCGCAGGCGGUCGAUCAAGUCGAGUGUGAAAGCCCCCGGCUCAACUGGGGAGGGUCAUUCGAUACUGAUCGACUCGAAGGCAGGAGAGGGUAGUGGAAUUCCCGGUGUAGUGGUGAAAUGCGUAGAUAUCGGGAGGAACACCAGUGGCGAAGGCGACUACCUGGCCUGUUCUUGACGCUGAGGCGCGAAAGCUAGGGGAGCAAACGGGG